CCUACGGGGGGCAGCAGUAGGGAAUUUUCGUCAAUGGGCGCAAGCCUGAACGAGCAAUGCCGCGUGAACGAGGAAGGUCUUCGGAUCGUAAAGUUCUGUUGAAGGGGAAAAAGAGCGGAGAGAGGAAAUGGUCUCCGAUUGAUAUUACCCUUCGAGGAAGUCACGGCUAACUACGUGCCAGCAGCCGCGGUAAUACGUAGGUGGCGAGCGUUAUCCGGAAUGAUUGGGCGUAAAGGGGGCGUAGGCGGCCUGCUAAGUCUGGAGUGAAAGGUACCGGCUCAACCGGUACAGGCUGGUGAAACUGGCGGGCUAGAGAGCAGGAGAGGGCGGUGGAACUCCAUGUGUAGCGGUAAAAUGCGUAGAUAUAUGGAAGAACACCAGUGGCGAAGGCGGCCGCCUGGCCUGUUACUGACGCUGAGGCACGAAAGCGUGGGGAGCAAAUAGGAUUAGAUACCCCUGUAGUC
rnacentral:rRNA from 1 species